UCGGGAAUUUUGGGCAAUGGGCGAAAGCCUGACCCAGCAACGCCGCGUGAAGGAUGAAAUCCCUCGGGAUGUAAACUUCGCAAGAGUAGGAAGAAUAAAUAGGGGUUAAUACCCCCUAUGAUGACGGUACUAUUUGUAAGCUCCGGCUAACUCCGUGCCAGCAGCCGCGGUAAUACGGGGGGAGCAAGCGUUGUUCGGAUUUACUGGGCGUAAAGGGCGCGUAGGCGGCUUUCCAAGUCACUUGUGAAAUCUCCGGGCUUAACUCGGAAAGGUCAAGUGAUACUGUGAGGCUAGAGUGCGGAAGGGGCAACUGGAAUUCUCGGUGUAGCGGUGAAAUGCGUAGAUAUCGAGAGGAACACCUGCGGCGAAGGCGGGUUGCUGGGCCGACACUGACGCUGAUGCGCGAAAGCCAGGGGAGCGAACGGGAUUAGAUACCCCCGUAGUCC
rnacentral:rRNA from 1 species